GAUGAACGCUAGCUGCAGGCUUAACACAUGCAAGUCGAGGGACCGGCGCACGGGUGAGUAAUACGUAUCCAACCUGCCCUUUACUCGGGGAUAGCCUUUCGAAAGAAAGAUUAAUACCCGAUGUAAAGGAUGGGGAUGCGUUCGGUUAGGUUGUUGGUGAGGUACCGGCUCACCAAGCCUUCGAUGGCUAGGGGUUCUGAGAGGAAGGUACACCAGAAUGGAACUGAGACACGGUCCAAAAUGAGAGGGGGGGGAGGAGAGAAGAACACUGGUCAAUGGGCGUUAGUCUGAACCAGCCAAGUAGCGUGAAGGAGGAAGGCUUAUGAGUCGUAAACUUCUGUUGUAGAAGAAUCUGUAUUAGAUGAAUAAGGAUCGGCUAACUCCGUGCCAGCAGCCGCGGUAAUUC
rnacentral:rRNA from 1 species